GACGAACGCUGGCGGCGCGCUUAAUACAUGCAAGUCGAGCGAGAACCAGAGCUUCGGCUCUGGGGACAGCGGCGAACGGGUGAGUAACACGUGAGUAAUCUGCCCUCGACACCGGGAUAG
rnacentral:rRNA from 1 species